UACGGGGGGGUAAGCGUUGUUCGGAAUUACUGGGCGUAAAGGGCUCGUAGGCGGCCAACUAAGUCAUACGUGAAAUCCCUCAGCUUAACUGGGGAACUGCGUGUGAUACUGGAUGGCUUGGAUUUGGGAGAGGGAUGCGGAAUUCCAGGUGUAGCGGUGAAAUGCGUAGAUAUCUGGAGGAACACCGGUGGCGAAGGCGGCAUCCUGGACCAACACUGACACUGAGGAGCGAAAGCCAGGGGAGCAAACGGG
rnacentral:rRNA from 1 species